rfam:Candidate divison MSBL1 archaeon SCGC-AAA261D19 AAA261D19_Contig_10, whole genome shotgun sequence.
GGGCCGGUAGUUCAGCGGUAUGAACGUCCGCUUGGCAUGCGGAAGGUCGCGGGUUCAAAUCCCGCCCGGUCCA